GGAAUUUUUAGUCAAAGUCAAGAAAACAUUUGACAGCGUUUGGAAUUUGUUUGCUCAUUUAAGGAGCUAUCAGUGAAGUGUAUCACUGAUACACUAGCAAGAGUUGCUCAAGGCUUUUUGACUGGAGCUUCAAUUCUUUGACAGAAAAAUUCAGAUAUCUAUCGGACUCUUCUUCAAUCAAUGGAAAUAGAAAUAUUACAGCAAUUCUUUACUAACCCACCUUGCCCGGAACUAUAACAAAAAUACGAAAUGCACACCCAAAUUUAUACUUUUUUCUCGUAAAGCAACCAUUUUGGGCGUG